UAAGAUGUAGGGUGAAGUGGCCAUUGGCUGU
rnacentral:piRNA from 1 species